rnacentral:lncRNA from 1 species
UAAGCGGAACAAUUUGGAAUCAUAUCUUUUAUCAAACAUUAAUAAAAGUAGUUCUAACAAAUAAUAAAAAUAGGGCUAAUUGAAAGUUAUGACGUGACUCACAAUUGAGUCUAAAUUUAAAAAUAAUAAUAAUCAACUGUUAUUAAAUAUUCUAGUAUUUCUAAAAAUUAAAGUACUUCAUGAUGAAGAUCCAUUGGUCCAAUAUGCAUCCAUCCACCGCCGUCCAGCAUACUAAUUUCUACCUGAAAAUUGUAAAUAGAGAGGGAUGAGUAUAACGAAUUAUACUCAAUGAGAUGCUUGCUACUCCACUUUCAAAUCAAACGUGAAAUUAUGCAUAAAUUCUCUUACCAACAUAACAUGAGAAUUAUCACACCAUGACCAAUAAUAAUUCAAGCAAGCGCUGCAAAUAACGUGAAGGCUAAAUUGUGCCUUAAACUGUAUCAUGAUUUCUCCCAAAGGAGCUCUGAAUUGAAGUAAUUAAAUCCAUACAUAACAACGUAUUUGAAAAAAUGUGGACAAACCACUAAUAGCACUGAGCAUCUCACCUUUUGAAGAUGAACGUGGAAAACAAAAUUGCUGAAAACGUGAUUCUUUAUUGAAAUUCCAAAGCCUUAAAAAGCCUUAAUAAUAUGGAGAAAUAUUUUUAAAGAGGAGGAGAGAAUAAAGACUUGUAGAAGAAGAAUGAGGAAUUAAUGACUGAAUGCUUGAGGCUUAGUGCUAUAUUUAUACUAAACCACGGUGUAGGGUAAUCACGUGGGGAGUGGAAUUUCACUGAAAUUAGAACUCUAAAUUUCGUCCAAGUACAUCCCAGAAAUUUGGUUUGGAAAUCCUAACCUCCUGUUUGAUAUAAUCUGACUUGGGGAUUAACUUUUGAUAUUGGUGCCCAAACCAACUACUAUAAUAAUGAGGAGACAUUACUGGAGCAUAUCCUUUGCACACGUGAUCAUUAGGAUAAGUUUAGUCUAAAAUAACUAAUAGUUUAUGCAUACUAAUUAAAUAUUAACCAUAAACUUAAUUAAUUAAAUAGUAGACUACAUAAAUAAUAUAUGGAGUUUGUUAAGAAUUGAAGUCUAUCAUAAUGGCCGAAAUUGGACAAAAGAAAAGAUAUUUAAUUCCUCUAAAAAUUUGAUUAAUUACUAAAAAUUUGAUUAAUUAAUUAGAAUUCUGAUAAGUGAUAACUAUUAACUAUUGGGUUUAGAUAAGUUCAAAAUCAACUACAAUUAUAAUAAGGAAAAAGACAAAUAGGCAUUAUCCUGCAUGAUGUUUACCCACGUGGACUGGGAACCUCCUAAUUG